AUUGAACGCUAGCGGGAUGCUUUACACAUGCAAGUCGAACGAGUGGCGGACGGGUGAGUAAUAUAUCGGAACGUGCCCAGUAGCGGGGGAUAACUACUCGAAAGCGUGGCUAAUACCGCCUACUAUUUGUACGGGCGAUAUCGGAUUGGCUAGUGGGUGGGGUAAUGGCUCACCAAGGCAACGAUCCGUAGCUGGUUUGAGAGGACGACCAGCCACACUGGUACUGAGACACGGCCCAGACUCCGACGGGAGGCAGCAGUGGGGAAUUUUGGACAAUGGGGGAAACCCUGAGCCAGCCAUCCCGCGUGUAUGAGAAGGCCUUCGGGUUGUAAAGUACUUUUGGCAGAGAAGCGGUAUCUGCAGAAUAAGCACCGGCUAACUACGUGCCAGCAGCCGCGGUAAUAC
rnacentral:rRNA from 1 species